GACGAACGCUGGCGGCGUGCUUAACACAUGCAAGUCGAACGGAAAGGCCCUGCUUGCCGGGUACUCGAGUGGCGAACGGGUGAGUAACACGUGGGUGAUCUGCCCUGCACUUCGGGAUAAGCCUGGGAAACUGGGUCUAAUACCGGAUAUGACCUUCCAUGUAGUGUGGGGGGUGGAAAGAUUUAUCGGUGUGGGAUGAGCCCGCGGCCUAUCAGCUUGUUGGUGGGGUAAUGGCCUACCAAGGCGUCGACGGGUAGCCGGCCUGAGAGGGUGGACGGCCACAUUGGGACUGAGAUACGGCCCAGACUCCUACUGGAGGCAGCAGUGGGGAAUAUUGCACAAUGGGCGGAAGCCUGAUGCAGCGACGCCGCGUGGGGGAUGACGGCCUUCGGGUUGUAAACCUCUUUCGACAGGGACGAAGCUUCGGUGACGGUACCUGUAGAAGAAGCACCGGCUAACUACGUG
rnacentral:rRNA from 1 species